rnacentral:rRNA from 1 species
UACGUAGGGGGCUAGCGUUGUCCGGAUUUAUUGGGCGUAAAGAGCUCGUAGGCGGUUGGGUAAGUCGGGUGUGAAAACUCCAGGCUCAACUUGGAGAUGCCACCCGAUACUGCUCUGACUUGAGUUCGGUAGGGGAGUGGGGAAUUCCUGGUGUAGCGGUGAAAUGCGCAGAUAUCAGGAGGAACACCGGUGGCGAAGGCGCCACUCUGGGCCGAAACUGACGCUGAGGAGCGAAAGCGUGGGGAGCGAACAGG